GACGAACGCUGGCGGCGUGCUUAACACAUGCAAGUCGAACGAAGUGGCGAACGGGUGCGUAACGCGUAAUCAAACUGCCCUUCAGAGGGGGACAACAGUUGGAAACGACUGCUAAUACCGCAUACUGAAGGAGGGGAUUGCGUCGGAUUAGCUAGUUGGAGGGGUAACGGCCCACCAAGGCGAUGAACCGUAGCCGGUCUCAUAGUAUGAACUGCCACAUGGGGACUGAGACACGGCCCAGACUCCUACGGAAGGCAGCAGUGGGGAAGCUUCCGCAGUGGACGAAAGUCUGACGGAGCAACGCCGCGUGAGUGAUGACGGCCUGCGGGUUGUAAAGCUCUGUUAAUCGGGACGCGGUACCGGAAUAGAAAGCCACGGCUAACUACGUGCCAGCAGCCGCGGUAAUAC
rnacentral:rRNA from 1 species